rnacentral:rRNA from 1 species
UACGUAGGGGGCCAGCGUUGUCCGGAUUUAUUGGGCGUAAAGAGCGUGUAGGCGGCCAGGUAGGUCUGGUGUGAAAACUCGAGGCUCAACCUCGAGAUGUCAUCGGAAACCAUCUGGCUAGAGUCCGGAAGAGGAGAGUGGAAUUCCUGGUGUAGCGGUGAAAUGCGCAGAUAUCAGGAAGAACACCUAUGGCGAAGGCAGCUCUCUGGGACGGUACUGACGCUGAGACGCGAAAGCGUGGGGAGCGAACAGG